rnacentral:rRNA from 1 species
GACGAACGCUGGCGGCGUGCUUAACACAUGCAAGUCGAACGGAAAGGCCCUGCUUGCAGGGUACUCGAGUGGCGAACGGGUGAGUAACACGUGGGUGAUCUGCCCUGCACUUCGGGAUAAGCCUGGGAAACUGGGUCUAAUACCGGAUAGGAGCCAUUUUUAGUGUGAUGGUUGGAAAGUUUUUUCGGUGUAGGAUGAGCUCGCGGCCUAUCAGCUUGUUGGUGGGGUAAUGGCCUACCAAGGCAGCGACGGGUAGCCGGCCUGAGAGGGUGGACGGCCACAAUGGGACUGAGAGACGGACCAGACUCCUACGGGGGGCAGAAGUGGGGAAUAUUGCACAAUGGGCGCAAGCCUGAUGCAGCGACGCCGCGUGGGUGAUGACGGCCUUCGGGUUGUAAACUCCUUUCGCUAGGGACGAAGCUUUUGUGACGGUACCUAGAGAAGAAGCACCGGCUAACUACGUG